rnacentral:rRNA from 1 species
CCUACGGGGGGCAGCAGUGGGGAAUAUUGGACAAUGGGGGGAACCCUGAUCCAGCCAUGCCGCGUGUGUGAAGAAGGCCCUCGGGUUGUAAAGCACUUUCAGUGAGGAAGAACGCCUGGUGGUUAAUACCCAUCAGGAAAGACAUCACUCACAGAAGAAGCACCGGCUAACUCCGUGCCAGCAGUCGCGGUAAUACGGAGGGUGCGAGCGUUAAUCGGAAUUACUGGGCGUAAAGCGCGCGUAGGUGGCUUGAUAAGCCGGUUGUGAAAGCCCCGGGCUCAACCUGGGAACGGCAUCCGGAACUGUCAAGCUAGAGUGCAGGAGAGGAAGGUAGAAUUCCCGGUGUAGCGGUGAAAUGCGUAGAGAUCGGGAGGAAUACCAGUGGCGAAGGCGGCCUUCUGGACUGACACUGACACUGAGGUGCGAAAGCGUGGGUAGCAAACAGGAUUAGAUACCCUUGUAGUC